GGAGAAGAUGCCUUGGCAUUGGCAAGCACCCCCUCCCGCUCCCCUCUCCUCCCCUCCCGCCACCCCCUCCUCCUCCUCCUCCUCCGAGGCCUGAUUGGUCCGAGUAAGACGCUGCUGCUCUGACGUCAGCCAGCCUGCCAGUAGACGAAGCGUUCUUGGAAAAGGACCAGUGGUGCUUUCGGAGCGAAGCGGAGCUGUCUGCGCGCAAGGGAGGAAGGAAGCCACCGGCUUCGCGCAUCCUCCCUUCUCUCCCCCCCCCCANCCAGCCAGCCAGCCCGAAUUUUGUUCCCCGAGAUCCAGGCGGGAAAUGAGGAGCGGGGGAGGCCCUCACGGCGACAGCGGACUGUCAGGGGCUGGGAAGAGCGGAGGUGCAGCUUUCCCCCGUCGCCUCCUUCACCACCGCCACCCCCCACGGUCGCCAAGGACUGCUUCUGCCUCUGCUUCUGCUUCGCCUGGCUCUGCCUGCCGUCGCCCAGGCUCGAGGGGUCGCGUGUCAUUUUCCCAGGGAGUUCCAAGAACUUGAAAAGCUGUGAUUACUUGAUCCAAUUUGCAACUGAUGAAAGCCCAUUUCCUUGGUUGAUGUGGGCCUGAUAUGUAACUCAGCUGUCUUCAGGAUACCUUAGAAAGAGAACUUCUGAAGUGUGCUUGGGAUACCUGGCCAUGCAUUUUCUGGAAACAAGCCAGAAAAUCCUCUCUUUGUAUAUGAAGGAUCAUUUCCUCUGGACCUUACUAAAAUCUGCUCCACCGUGCAGCUUUGGACUGCUCAUAAGCACCAGGUGCUGCUCUUGGACUAGGUUCUAAAGGAAAAGGCAACCUGUAUGAACUGGACACUCAGCUACCUGCAUUCCUUGGCGUGCCUUCUGAGAUGCACAACCAGCACACCUUGAAUUCACUGAUGGGGGAUUAUGUUGCCUAGCAUCAAUCGCUGCUGGUACAGGCAUGAGAAAAUUACCAUUUGCAGAUGUUCGUAUCGAACUGAACAUACGGUGGUUCGCAUAUCCAGAAAUUUGAUCAAAUCAAACCAAACCAGUCUCCCGCUCAUGAGUGUGAACAACUCAAUUGAACACUUUGUGUUCACUGUAGUUUUCCCCUUGAGAGGGGAAUUUUGUUUGUUUUGAACAAGUUCAAAACUGAACAUGGUCAACCAUUUGUUCAAUUAAAUGCUUUGCCAGUGAACUGAACAAAUGAGUGGGUUUUAGUUCAAUGAACACACAGUUUUUGUUUGUGCACAUUUCUUGCUGAUCCCUAAGGAUUGUUUUUUUUUAUUUUUUGUGGGGUUUUUUUGCUUUUGAUUCUUUGAAUCUGCUAUGUGCAUUAAUUGUGUUUUUCGUUGCUGUUAAGCUUUCUGGUAUACAGUCUUAAAUAUUUUAUUUUUUUGCACUAACAUUUGAUUAAUUUUUAUGUUGUUAGCAACUGUGUAUUUUUGUAUUUUUAAGAAAAAAUGGGCUUCAAAAUCAUCACAAUAAAAUUUAAAUAGAAAAUGAAACA
rnacentral:lncRNA from 1 species